rnacentral:lncRNA from 1 species
GAUCCAGGGGUCCUGAGGGCCUGGGUGCACCAGGAAAACAGUGGUGUUGAUGGACAAUCGAUACUGGGCCCUGGAGCAGGAGUGUCACAUGCAAGGGCUGUCAAGUCAUCCCCAGGGGACAGGAAAGCUCCCACGGUGGCUUGGGCACAGGUAACCAGCAGACGUCCUGUCUCGAUGGGCCCUUCUACAGCAGCUCAGGAAUGGUAUCAGGAAGCCAGCUUGACCUUGGGCGACCUCUGAGAGCCUGGGACCCCCCAGCAAGAAAGGCAGCGUAUGAGUUUCCUGUGACUGCUGCAGUAAAUCGCCGCAAAUUGGGGGCUUAAAACAACAAAAAUGCCUUCUUUCGCCGUUCUGGAAGGCAGAAGUCCAAAGUCAAGGUGUGGCAGGGCCAAACUCCCUCCAGAAGCUCUAGUGGAGGAUCCUUCUUGCCUCUCCCAGCUUCUGGUGGCUCCUGGUGAUCCUUGGCUUGUCGCCGCCUAACUCCAGUCUCUGCCUCUGUCUUCAUGUGACCUCCUCCCGUGUCUAUGUCUCAAAUCUCUCUGUUUUUCUCUUAUGACACCUGUCAUUGGGUGUAGGGCCCACUCUCAAUCUGGAAUGAUCUCAUCUUGAGAUCCUCAACUUAAUUACAUCUGCAAAGACCCUCUCUUCAAAUAAGGCCCCUCGCAUAUUUCCCAGGGCUUAGGAGCCACCAUCCGGUCCAUACAGGCCCUGUCCCUCACUGACCCUGAACCGUAGGUGCCCUUGGAGUCCUCAGGCAGGAGCUGAAAGCACUAGUAUCUUGAGAAAGCUCUCACAGGCACCGGAAGAAAGUUGAAUGACUGGCUUUCCCAAACUUUGCUGAAUUAUGGCCGAGUUCCCAUUCCUGCUGGCUUGGUGCUUCCUCCACUAUCUUUAGGUCGUGUGGCCCUCCUCCCCUGUCAGGUAAGCAUCAGACAGUGCACAGAAAGGGCCAGACUGUGUCGUCUUAAAGAAGACAGCCUGGAGGAGCGGGCGGUAGCCCUGCCCUCCGAGCUCCAGGUGAUGACUGCUGCUGGUUGAAAGCUGACAGUUUCGACUGAGAAUAAAGUUAACUGCUACCCCAUCAGUGGAGUCUGCCCAGGUUCACAAGUGAAACCGCCAUUAUGCUCUUCGCAAGAUACUCUUGUCCUGAGUCUACACUUACAGUGACCCCGAGGUGCCGGAGGCGCUGGCUGCUUGGGCAGAGGCCUUCCGGGGCCCUGGAGGUAGGGAGGGCGGACUUCUCCCUCAGUUUCACAGCCAGGAGGCAUGUGGGAUGAGGGCAGUUGUGACUUGCCC